rnacentral:tRNA from 1 species
GGCAAGAUGGCCGAGCGGUCUAAGGCGCUAGCUUCAGGUGCUAGUAGAGCAAUCUGCGUGGGUUCGAAUCCCACUCUUGUCA